rnacentral:rRNA from 1 species
GAUGAACGCUGGCGGCGUGCCUAAUACAUGCAAGUAGAACGCUGAAGGAGGAGCUUGCUCUUCUGGAUGAGUUGCGAACGGGUGAGUAACGCGUAGGUAACCUGCCUGGUAGCGGGGGAUAACUAUUGGAAACGAUAGCUAAUACCGCAUGACAACAGUUAUUGCAUGAUAACUGUUUAAAAGGGGCAACUGCUCCACCAGAUGGACCUGCGUUGUAUUAGCUAGUUGGUGAGGUAACGGCUCACCAAGGCGACGAUACAUAGCCGACCUGAGAGGGUGGGCGGCCACACUGGGACUGAGACACGGCCCAGACUCCUACGGGAGGCAGCAGUAGGGAAUCUUCGGCAAUGGACGGAAGUCUGACCGAGCAACGCCGCGUGAGUGAAGAAUGUUUUCGGAUCGUAAAGCUCUGUUGUAAGAGAAGAACGAGUGUGAGAGUGGAAAGUUCACACUGUGACGGUAACUUACCAGAAAGGGACGGCUAACUACGUG